GUGCCACCUUGGACUAACCACUGAAAUUUUCUGGACUUUGUUUCCUCAUCUAUAAAAUGGAAAUAAAGAUGCCUUUCUAAUUCAUCUUUUGGGAUUAUUAAAAAAAUGAAAUGAAAUAAUAUAUGUAAAGUCCUUUGUAGCCAGAAUAUGUCAUCUCAAUGGAAGUCUAGAGACAGGAAUUGGGGGAGAUGCUCAUAGAUGUAGGCUUUGCAAAAUCUGUAAACAUAAGACCACAUUUAUAAUAAUAUUUUGUUUUAAAUUUUUUUAAAAUGGGAAUGUUCUAACUCUUUAGCAAAAUGAGAAAAAGAAGAAUGAACAUAAUUGCAAAAAUAAUAUAGUGAAGAGAUCACCGAAUCUGGGGUCUUGGGGACCUGGGUUUGAAUCCUAACUCUGGCAUUUACUGCCUGGGGGAUGGUUGUUUCAUGUCUCUGGGUCACAGUUUCCUCUUCUUUAAAUGAGAGGUUAAACUAGAUAUGACCUCUUGUUCUCUUCCUCUUCCCCCAUCUCCAACACAUAUAAACACUCACUCUAUUUUGUGAAUUUACUUCUUAUUGGUUAAUGAAGAGGUAGUUUAUUAGGAGAUAAAUAACAAGCAGUGUGUACAUAACCAGGGAGUUUUUCACUCAUGAAAUAGUUGAGAUCUACUGGGUCUCCUAUGGAAGGCUUCAAAAUAAUUUGGGAACAUUUCUGCAAUGAUGUUUUAAACAACAAAAAAUGCAACAUACUUUAGUGUCCUUUGAAAUAGCUGAUGUAAGGCAGUAGUUACUCCCUCCCCCUUUCUCUGGAAUUUAAGGAGGCUAGAUAUGGUGGAGCAGCCUUGGGAAAAUGUAUGUAUAUAUUAAAAGGAGAAGGAAAGCAGCUGCUGGGGUUGAAAGCCUGGAGAUUGGAUAAUGGACUUUUCAGUGCAGUCAAGACUAUGAAGUAUUUCAGACUCGCUGAAUAUUUAAUUUGGUUUUUAUUCAUGUUCGAUGUUGGGAUGAAAUGAGAUCAUGAGGAGUCAUUAAACAAAGGAGGUUUACUUUGUUUAAAUCCAGUAAGGACAUACAGGAUACAGGGGGUUUUGGCUUCUCUGGAUGAGGUCCUCUGCACCUCCAUCACCUGGAAACAUGUCUGGUCAGUACAUCAUCAAAGGGACACUGAAUCAAGAAAAUUCUGGUCCUAUCACAUCUGUCUUUCUCUUGGGGGACAAGGAAGAAGAGAGAGAUGAAGGAUGACCUCAUUAUAGAGUUAAGAGAUGGAAGGAACCCUAGAGACCAUCUUGUUCAAACACUUCAUUUUUAUAAAUCAGGGAAUUUUAUGUCUUUAGCAUUUAGGGCAGUGCUUUAGUCAUAGGAAGAGUCUAAUAAAUAUUGGUUGAUUUGGUUUUAAUAUUUUCUA
rnacentral:lncRNA from 1 species